rnacentral:rRNA from 1 species
GACGAACGCUGGCGGCGUGCUUAACACAUGCAAGUCGAACGGAAAGGCCCUGCUUUUGUGGGGUGCUCGAGUGGCGAACGGGUGAGUAACACGUGAGUAACCUGCCCUUGACUUUGGGAUAACUUCAGGAAACUGGGGCUAAUACCGGAUAGGAGCUCCUGCUGCAUGGUGGGGGUUGGAAAGUUUCGGCGGUUGGGGAUGGACUCGCGGCUUAUCAGCUUGUUGGUGGGGUAGUGGCUUACCAAGGCUUUGACGGGUAGCCGGCCUGAGAGGGUGACCGGCCACCUUGGGACUGCGAUACGGCCCAGACGCCUACGGGAGGCAGCAGUGGGGAAUAUUGCACAAUGGGCGGAAGCCUGAUGCAGCAACGCCGCGUGCGGGAUGACGGCCUUCGGGUUGUAAACCGCUUUCGCCUGUGACGAAGCGUGAGUGACGGUAAUGGGUAAAGAAGCACCGGCUAACUACGUG